GAUCCUGGGCUCAGGAUGAACGCUAGCUACAGGCUUAACACAUGCAAGUCGAGGGGCAGCGGGAUUGAAGCUUGCUUCAAUUGCCGGCGACCGGCGCACGGGUGAGUAACGCGUAUCCAACCUUCCGUACACUCAGGGAUAGCCUUUCGAAAGAAAGAUUAAUACCUGAUGGUAUGAUGAGAUUGCAUGGUAUCAUCAUUAAAGAUUUAUCGGUGUACGAUGGGGAUGCGUU
rnacentral:rRNA from 1 species